AUAUGCCUAUGAUUUUAAUAAGGUUGUAACUGCCACAAGACAAACAAAUAACUUAUAAUUGCAUUUUGUGCUUUACAACCUUAUUAAAAUCAUAGGCAUAUCAAAGUUUACUAAUAGAAAAUGAUCGGAAACAAAAUGUGUGGUCAUGACUCAACAGUAGAACUGAUAUUAUUGACUGCACAAACGCAUAAGGUUGCAACCACAUUCUGCAGAAACAUGCUCAAGCAUAAGACUGUGCCAGGCAUUCAUCAACCAUAUCCACUAGGUUCGGGUUUUCCAAGGCUGCUGCUACUCGCUCUUUAUCAUUUAGUUGUUUAUUAACUGCAGCUUCAGUUGCAUGGCUUCCAGGAGCCACUCUUAUAUCCACCUUGUAACGAGAAGGCAAGCUUCUCAUAAGCUUCACACGCAAGCAAAGACCAAUAACUGUUGCCAUGCUACAGUGUUCAAUUGUUGGAGUAAAUGUCACUCUGACGUAACUACGUUUGUCAUCAACUUCAAUUGCAUCUUCUGUUAUUACCUUAAGCUCUUCCAAAGAGUAAGGAUGCUCAGGAUCUUUUAUGUCUCUAAUAUGAUCAAAAAUUUCCUGUUGAUCAAUUGGCUCAACAGCGUACUCAUCAGUAUUGCUUGAGACACUUCGAACC
rnacentral:misc_RNA from 1 species